AUCCAGUUGACGAGUCCCAAAUGGGAGGAAACUCUCGUCCUAGAU
rnacentral:hammerhead_ribozyme from 1 species